UACGGGGGGGGGGCAAGCGUUGUUCGGAAUUACUGGGCGUAAAGGGUGCGCAGGUGGGCAAGUAAGUCAGUGGUGAAAUCUCCGGGCUUAACCCGGAAACUGCCAUUGAUACUAUCAGUCUUGAAUACCGUGGAGGUCAGCGGAAUAUGUCAUGUAGCGGUGAAAUGCUUAGAUAUGACAUAGAACACCAAUUGCGAAGGCAGCUGGCUACACGAAUAUUGACACUGAGGCACGAAAGCGUGGGGAUCAAACAGG
rnacentral:rRNA from 1 species